rnacentral:rRNA from 1 species
GACGAACGCUGGCGGCGUGCCUAAUACAUGCAAGUCGAGCGGAUCUUCAUUAGCUUGCUUUUGAAGAUCAGCGGCGGACGGGUGAGUAACACGUGGGCAACCUGCCUGUAAGACUGGGAUAACUUCGGGAAACCGGAGCUCAUACCGGAUAAUCCUUUCCCUCACAUGAGGGAAAGCUGAAAGACGGUUUCGGCUGUCACUUACAGAUGGGCCCGCGGCGCAUUAGCCAGUUGGUGAGGUAAUGGGUCACCAAGGCGACGAUGCGUAGCCGACAUGAGAGGGUGAUCGGCCACACUGGGACUGAGACACGGCCCAGACUCCUACGGGAGGCAGCAGUAGGGAAUCUUCCGCAAUGGACGAAAGUCUGACGGAGCAACGCCGCGUGAACGAUGAAGGCCUUCGGGUCGUAAAGUUCUGUUGUCAGGGAAGAACAAGUACCGGAGUAACUGCCGGUACCUUGACGGUACCUGACCAGAAAGCCACGGCUAACUACGUGCCAGCAGCCGCGGUAACAC